rnacentral:tRNA from 1 species
GGCGGAGUGCUAGAGUGGUGAAUAGGUGUGACUCGAAAUCACAUGGCUUCGGCCGCGCAGGUUCGAAUCCUGUCUCCGUCG